UUUCCCACCACCAAUAACACUGCAGGUUAGAAGUAUUUGAAAGAUCUGGAGUCAGGCCAAACACUACACAUGAAAGAAGAUUCACCAAUUACCAUCUUUAGAUGGCAGAAUAAAGUACCUUCAGAGCCACUUAAAAGCUGACUUUAACAUGGAGUGGCAGAAGCGUCUCUUCAGACGGACACCUCUUAAAUGAAGCCCAGUUUCAACAAAGGAGCUAAAACCAAUUUGGCUGAAUUGUUAUGUUACUUGACAUCAGAAAUUGUCAGCAAGAAGGAGAAAUAAGCUUUCCAAAGAUUAAAGUUGAUAUAAUUAUUGAAGACAGAAUCAGAUUUGAGAAUGGGUCUGCUGAAUUCAAGUUUACCUUUCUCUUUUUUCCUGAUGUUGUGAUUUGAAAAGCACUCAAAGAAGCUUCUGUGAACUGACAUCUGCCCGGAUCAUGUGUAACUAGACUGAAUGAGGCCUUACAGAUCAAUGAUCAUAAGUCUGGCUGGCAGACUUACAUUUCAUGAAAUCAUAAGAGAAUAUUGAAGUAGCUUGA